rnacentral:ncRNA from 1 species
UGAUUUGAUGUUAGGAGGGCAAAUCCGCCGAAUUUAAGCAUAUAAUUAAGCGGAAGAAAAGAAAAUAACUAUGAUUCCUUUAGUAACGGCGAGUGAACAAGGACCAGCUCAAACGGUUAAUCCUUCGUUUGGUGCAAGCCUUUCGACGGAAUUGUCGUUGAAUUAUUCCAUGAAUGCCUUUAAUUUGAGCAAAGUGAGCAGGAAUGCUUCCCCAUAGAGGGUGAAAGGCCCAUAGUUCUUUUUAAUUUAUUCAUUGGAAUUUUUCAUUCCGAGUCGUGUUCUUUGAGAUUGGAGCACUAAUACGUGUGAUACAUUUCACAUAAAGCUAAAUAUUUGUAGGAGACCGAUAGCAAACAAGUACCGUGAGGGAAAGAUGAAAUAGUACUCAGGAAUGAGCAAUUAAAUAGUACCUGAAAUCGUUAAGAUGGAACGGAUUAAGAGAGAAAACAAGUAAAGAGGGGAAUUUUUAAUUUUUUUUGUUUUAAUUCUCUUCUUUAUUAAAAGAAACAUCAGUGAUUAAUUUAAUUUCAAUAAAGCAAUCCCCUGAAAUUCAAAAUUUCUUUUAAUUUUGUUUUCACUUUCUCCCCGCACUAAUGUGGGGAAAACUGGCUUUAUUUCUUCAAUUAUUUUUUUUGCUGAGGAAUUUUAAAAUUAUUUGAAUUUUUCUUCUUAUAAUUUAAGUUGUUUCUAUAUAGUACUUUCUUAACCCACUCGUCUUGAAACACGGACCAAGGAGUCUAGCAAAUGUGCAAGUGUAUAUGAUUCUUUAAACAUUUCUCUUUUUAAUAUACGCAUAAUUAAUGUAAUAUGUUUCUUUAUUGUAGAUUUGUGUGGUGUUUAAUUUUUAUUAAAUCCCCACUUUGCAUACAAUACCAGUAAGCAAUUAUGCUUUAUUGAGUACGAGCAUAUUUGGUAGGACCCGAGAGGCUUUGAACUAAGCGUGAUGAGAUUGAAGUCAGACGAAAGUCUGAUGGAGGAUCGAGUUGAUACUGACGUGCAAAUCGUUCGUUUCAAUCACGUUUAGGGGCGAAAGACUAAUCGAAAAGCCUAUUAGCUGGUUAUUUUCGAAAGAUCUCUCAGGAUCGCUGGAGUUGAUUAAUAUAAUUUUACCAGGUAGAGAUAAUGGGUAGAGGAAUCAGGGAAGGGGGUUCCUUGACCUAUUCUCAAACUCCCAAUAGGUAAAAAGGGCGAGAUAACUCAAUUUGUAUUUCACGCAUAUUAAAUAAAAUAACUCCAAGGGGGCCAUUGGGGUAGCGCGACUGGCGAGGAGGGAUGCUCCUAAGCUGAGAUAAGGGGCCUAGAUAUUCCCUCA